AUGGCUUCUUCUUCUCCCAGCGACCGAAGCAGCCGCGUGGCCACAUGCCUCGUGCUGAUUCUCCUGGUCGUCACCCUGCGAGAAGCCUCUGCCACGCGUCCGCUGCGGCCGGCCGACGAUGUGAAGGACCAGGCCAUUGUUGACAAGUACGCACCGCUCCUGCUCACCAUGCUGCCGAGGGGCCCUGCGCCGCCUUUGGCCCCAAGCGGUUGGCACGAAUGA
rnacentral:rRNA from 1 species